CCUAGGGUGGCAGCAGUGGGGAAUAUUGGACAAUGGGCGAAAGCCUGAUCCAGCCAUGCCGCGUGUGUGAAGAAGGCCUUCGGGUUGUAAAGCACUUUCAGUGGGGAAGAAAGCCUUGGGGCUAAUACCCUCGAGGAAGGACAUCACCCACAGAAGAAGCACCGGCUAACUCCGUGCCAGCAGCCGCGGUAAUACGGAGGGGGCGAGCGUUAAUCGGAAUUACUGGGCGUAAAGCGCGCGUAGGCGGUCUGAUAAGCCGGUUGUGAAAGCCCCGGGCUCAACCUGGGAACGGCAUCCGGAACUGUCAGGCUAGAGUGCAGGAGAGGAAGGUAGAAUUCCCGGUGUAGCGGUGAAAUGCGUAGAGAUCGGGAGGAAUACCAGUGGCGAAGGCGGCCUUCUGGACUGACACUGACGCUGAGGUGCGAAAGCGUGGGUAGCAAACAGGAUUAGAUACCCCUGUAGUC
rnacentral:rRNA from 1 species